GAUGAAGAACGCAGCCAAAUGCGAUAAGUAAUGUGAAUUGCAGAAUUCAGUGAAUCAUCGAAUCUUUGAACGCAUCUUGCGCUCCUUGGUAUUCUGAGGAGCAUGCCUGUUUGAGUGUCAUUAAAUUCUCAACUACACUGACUUUGAAUUGGUGUGGCUUGGAUUUGGGGGGAAAAUUGUUGUGGGCUUUUUGUAUAGUCUGCUCCCCUGAAAUUGAUUAGCGGUACCUUUGUGGAACUGUCUACAGGUGUGAUAAUUAUCUACAUCUUAGACAUCUGCUGGAAUGCUGCUUUCUAAACCUUACUUGUAUUGACAAUCUUGACCUCAAAUCAGGUAGGACUACCCGCUGAACUUAAGCAUAUCAAUAAGCGGAGGA
rnacentral:misc_RNA from 1 species